rnacentral:tRNA from 1 species
UGGCUCGUAGCUCAAUUGGCCAGAGUAUCCCGCCCUUGGCGGGAGAGUUGUGGGUUCGAGCCCCACCGGGCCAA